GAAAUGCGAUAAGUAAUGUGAAUUGCAGAAUUCAGUGAAUCAUCGAAUCUUUGAACGCACCUUGCGCUCCUUGGUAUUCCUUGGAGCAUGCCUGUUUGAGUAUCAUGAAAUCUUCAAAGUAAAUCUUUUGUUAACUCAAUUGGUUUCUACUUUGGUAUUGGAGGUCUUUGCAGCUUCACAUCUGCUCCUCUUUGUUCAUUAGCUGGAUCUCAGUGUUAUGCUUGGUUCCACUCGGCGUGAUAAGUUAUCUAUCGCUGAGGACAUUGUAAAAGGUGGCCAAGGUAAAUGCAGAUGAACCGCUUCUAAUAGUCCAUUGACUUGGACAAUACUUUUAUGAUCUGAUCUCAAAUCAGGUAGGACUACCCGCUGAACUUAAGC
rnacentral:misc_RNA from 1 species